UACGUAGGGUGCAAGCGUUAUCCGGAAUUAUUGGGCGUAAAGAGCUCGUAGGCGGUCUGUCGCGUCUGCUGUGAAAACUCAGGGCUUAACCCUGAGCUUGCAGUGGGUACGGGCAGACUAGAGUGCGGUAGGGGAGACUGGAAUUCCUGGUGUAGCGGUGAAAUGCGCAGAUAUCAGGAGGAACACCGGUGGCGAAGGCGGCUCUCUGGGCCUUACCUGACGCUGAGGAGCGAAAGCGUGGGUAGCGAACAGG
rnacentral:rRNA from 1 species